GGGUUCUGUUUGUGCUCUCUCUCUUUCUCUCUUCAUACAUCUCUUCUCACCUCCCUCUCCUCCCUCACUUGUGUAGUGACAGGUUGUAUAUAUAUUGUGAUGUCUUUCGUCCAUGUCUGUAUGUAAAGUACCGUAAGAUGAUUUAAAGAUGAGCUCUUCUAAUCUUGAUUCUUUUUUGAUUGGUUAGGUACAUGUAGUUCAGAGGGUUGGUUACCAUGGUUAGGUACAUGUAGUUCAGAGGGUUGGUUACCAUGGUUAGGUACAUGUAGUUCAGAGGGUUGGUUACCAUGGUUAGGUACAUGUAGUUCAGAGGGUUGGUUACCAUGGUUAGGUACAUGUAGUUCAGAGGGUUGGUUACCAUGGUUAGGUACAUGUAAUUCAGAGGGUUGGUUACCAUGGUUAGGUACAUGUAGUUCAGAGGGUUGGUUACCAUGGUUAGGUACAUGUAGUUCAGAGGGUUGGUUACCAUGGUUAGGUACAUGUAGUUCAGAGGGUUGGUUACCAUGGUUAGGUACAUGUAGUUCAGAGGGUUGGUUACCAUGGUUAGGUACAUGUAGUUCAGAGGGUUGGUUACCAUGGUUAGGUACAUGUAGUUCAGAGGGUUGGUUAACGUGGUUAGAUACAGUACAUGUAGUUCAGAGGGUUGGUUACCAUGGUUAGGUACAGUACAUGUAGUUCAGAGGGUUAGUUACCAUGGUUAGGUACAUGUAGUUCAGAGGGUUGGUUACCAUGGUUAGGUACAUGUAGUUCAGAGGGUUGGUUACCAUGGUUAGGUACAUGUAGUUCAGAGGGUUGGUUACCAUGGUUAGGUACAUGUAGUUCAGAGGGUUGGUUACCAUGGUUAGGUACAUGUAGUUCAGAGGGUUGGUUACCAUGGUUAGGUACAUGUAGUUCAGAGGGUUGGUUACCAUGGUUAGGUACAUGUAGUUCAGAGGGUUGGUUACCAUGGUUAGGUACAUGUAGUUCAGAGGGUUGGUUACCAUGGUUAGGUACAUGUAGUUCAGAGGGUUGGUUACCAUGGUUAGGUACAUGUAGUUCAGAGGGUUGGUUACCAUGGUUAGGUACAUGUAGUUCAGAGGGUUGGUUACCAUGGUUAGGUACAUGUAGUUCAGCGGGUUGGUAACCAUGGUUAUGUACAUGUAAUUCAGAGGGUUGGUUACCAUGGUUAGGUAGAUGUAGUUCAGAGGGUUAGUUACCAUGGUUAGGUACAUGUAGUUCAGAGGGUUGGUUACCAUGGUUAGGUACAUGUAGUUCAGAGGGUUGGUUACCAUGGUUAGGUACAUGUAGUUCAGAGGGUUGGUUACCAUGGUUAGGUACAUGUAGUUCAGCGGGUUGGUAACCAUGGUUAUGUACAUGUAAUUCAGAGGGUUGGUUACCAUGGUUAGGUAGAUGUAGUUCAGAGGGUUAGUUACCAUGGUUAGGUACAUGUAGUUCAGAGGGUUGGUUACCAUGGUUAGGUACAUGUAGUUCAGAGGGUUGGUUACCAUGGUUAGGUAGAUGUAGUUCAGAGGGUUGGGAUGAGAAAGUAGAGUCACUGGACUUUAAUAUCACCAUUACAGUAACUCACAUUCACCCAUUUGAUUGAUUCUGAACUACAUGGUGUGUGGGGAAAUGGCUCUGUGUCACGGUGUCUGACCACUGUAAGGGCUUGAGUUAUAUCAGUGAUUGUCAUAAACAGAGUAUACUAUAGCAAAGCAAUUGGUGUGGCCACUCUGGGCUAUUGGUUAUGUGAGUGUGGACCCUGCUAGUUUGGGUGAAUACACCUCAGAGUUAGGAAUGGGGGUCAAAGGGGUUGAGUGGUAAUAUGCUGUAUUGACUGCAGAGCUGCAUGCAGAGCAAUACUAUACAGCUCCAUUGGUUGGUUAUUUAGGAAUAACAACACACACACACACACACACACACACACACAUCCUAUCAUCUCCCCACCCCCUGUGGGGUACUGCAAGUAGAAAACCAGACUGUGUGGAUCAAUAGCAGAGGCUAUCCUGCUGUUCCAAGGACCUGGGACCGAGACAGAGACGGAGAGAAAGAGACAGAGCGAGAGGAAACAGAGAGAAAGAAGCCUGAGAGAGAGAGGGAGCCCCACAGUAGGUCGAUACAGCUCUGAUACGGCUCCGGUAGAGCUCUGGGACCCUGCUGGUACAGUUCAGCUCAGGUCCCUAGCCGUCGUGGAGGGCCCCACUCUCCAUCUUAUUAGGACAGAUUGGUGCUGCCGGGCCUGGGGUCCGGAGCUGGGGUGGCCCCCUGUAUGGAUCAGCACAGCUGGCUCUAGGUCAGGGGUCAGCAGGGGUUGACAGGGGCCUGUAGGGGCCGGUCACUGAGCCACUCAGCAGAGAGAGAGAAAGCUUCCCACUGGUGUAUUGUGAGAGGGAAGCAUGCGGAGGGCCAGGGCAGCACACAGCUGAGAAUGGGCUCACAGCCUGGUAAUGUUUCUGUCACAUUACCACUGAUGGGAUAGAGGAGAUGGGCCAAACACACACACACACACACACUAUGUGUAGUUAAACGUGAGGAUGUGAGGCUGAACAUGAUCUGGUACAUUCACAUUCAGUAUACACAUAGACAGCUGUUUUCUACCCCAUGCUGCAAGUGAUUUCUCUCCCCCAUCCUCCUCCACAAUGGGGGUGAGAUGGGGAGAGAGAGAGAGAGAGAGACCGAGA